rnacentral:rRNA from 1 species
GGUUAAGUGACUAAGCGUACACGGUGGAUGCCUUGGCAGUCAGAGGCGAUGAAGGACGUAUUAACUUGCGAUAAGCCCAGAUUAGGUAGUAAAAACCAUUUGAGUCUGGGAUUUCCGAAUGGGGAAACCCAAUACCAUAAGGUAUUACUGUUGAGUGAAUACAUAGCUCAACAGGGCGAACCGGGGGAACUGAAACAUCUAAGUACCCCGAGGAAAAGAAAUCAACCGAGAUUCCGAAAGUAGCGGCGAGCGAAAUUGGACUAGCCCUUAAGCUUUACACGCGUUAGACGAACAGCCUGGAAAGGCCGACGAUACAGGGUGAUAGUCCCGUAGUUGACGACGUGUGUUCAGUGAAAUCGAGUAGGGCGGGACACGUGAUAUCCUGUCUGAAUAUGGGGGGACCAUCCUCCAAGGCUAAAUACUACUGACUGACCGAUAGUGAACCAGUACCGUGAGGGAAAGGCGAAAAGAACCCCUGUGAGGGGAGUGAAAUAGAACCUGAAACCGUGUACGUACAAGCAGUAGGAGCAGGCUUUGUCCUGUGACUGCGUACCUUUUGUAUAAUGGGUCAGCGACUUAUAUUCAGUGGCAAGGUUAACCAUCUAGGGGAGCCGUAGGGAAACCGAGUCUUAACUGGGCGUUCAGUCUCUGGAUAUAGACCCGAAACCAGGUGAUCUAGCCAUGGGCAGGUUGAAGGUUGAGUAACAUCAACUGGAGGACCGAACCGACUAAUGUUGAAAAAUUAGCGGAUGACUUGUGGCUAGGGGUGAAAGGCCAAUCAAACCUGGAGAUAGCUGGUUCUCCCCGAAAGCUAUUUAGGUAGCGCCUCGGACGAAUACUACUGGGGGUAGAGCACUGUUAAGGCUAGGGGGUCAUCCCGACUUACCAACCCUUUGCAAACUCCGAAUACCAGUAAGUACUAUCCGGGAGACACACGGCGGGUGCUAACGUCCGUCGUGGAGAGGGAAACAACCCAGACCGCCAGCUAAGGUCCCAAAUUACUACUAAGUGGGAAACGAUGUGGGAAGGCUCAGACAGCCAGGAUGUUGGCUUAGAAGCAGCCAUCAUUUAAAGAAAGCGUAAUAGCUCACUGGUCGAGUCGGCCUGCGCGGAAGAUGUAACGGGGCUAAGUAGUAAACCGAAGCUGCGGCAAUGCACUUUGUGCAUUGGGUAGGGGAGCGUUCUGUAAGCGGUUGAAGGUGUGUGGUAACGCAUGCUGGACGUAUCAGAAGUGCGAAUGCUGACAUGAGUAACGAUAAAGGGGGUGAAAAACCUCCUCGCCGGAAGACCAAGGGUUCCUGUCCAACGUUAAUCGGGGCAGGGUAAGUCGACCCCUAAGGCGAGGCCGAAAGGCGUAGUCGAUGGGAAACGGGUUAAUAUUCCCGUACUUCUUACAAUUGCGAUGGGGGGACGGAGAAGGCUAGGUGGGCCUGGCGACGGUUGUCCAGGUUCAAGUGCGUAGGCU